UUGAAUACCUUUACUCAUCCCCAUGACAUCCCCAUCCCAAGAAACUUUUAUUAUACGCCAGAUCGAUCUGUACUUUCUUCUUCCUAGGUAAACCCUAAAACACAAACCCUCACAACCAUCUUCUCCACCGAUUUUAUUAUCCAGAUUUGUUCCUAUUCUUGCUUCUUCCCAGAGACUAAAACACAAACCCUCGCAACCAUCUUCUCCACCGAGAAACCGUCGUCUUCCCUGUUCUUCCUCAUCAUUAACUGCGACUCCUCCCUCCGAUGACACCAGGUUUUACUUUGUGUAUUUAGUCGUGAGAGUGAAGAUGAGCAGCAGCAGCCACCGACACAGAAGCGACCUUUCUUAGUAGCAGCUAGUUAAGGGAUCAAGGGCUAACUAGGAAGGGUGGUUAUUGCUGGAACGUUACUGGCCGGCAUACAAGGCCACCGGCGGUCCUUCUUCAGCAUUGGAGAAUUUGGUCAGAUUUUAACUAGACUGCAGGUGUUGUUGGAGGGGAUGCUUCUUCUAUUACACAUGCACCAACAGAGUUAUUUCAUAUGUACUGCUAGAAUGCCAACCGAAGCUAUUGAAGAAUUUGAACGGGCAGAUAUGCCAGAUCUGUGGGGACACCGUAGGCCUAACUGAAAGUGGUGAAAUCUUUGUUGCUUGCAAUGAGUGCGCCUUCCCAGUAUGCAGGCCAUGCUAUGAGUACGAAAGGAGAGGGGAAUCAAGCCUGCCCUCAAUGCAAGACUACAUACAGAAGACACAAAGGGAGCCCUCGGGUUGAUGGUGAUGAGGAUGUGGAGGACGAUGAAGACUUGGAAAACGAGUUCAACAAUGAUCAAGGGAACACCAAAGCUAGACGCCAUUGGCAGGGAGAUGAUGCUGAUCUUUCUUCGUCUGCUAGACAUGAGGAGCUGAUCUUUCUUCGUCUACUAGACACGUAAAGGUAGCCGGGUCCGAAGAUUGUUUAAAGUGUGUUACUUUAUUUCCGAGGUUAGAUUUUGAACAUGCUAUUUUAUUAAUGUUCUCUUUGUGAAACUUUACUGUGAUAAUUAAUGGUUGGGCUUAGAAGAUGGCGUGAUUGGUGGUGUUGAAGCUGUGGAUUCGAGUUUGUAGCUGAUUUGGGGAUGAGUCUGAGUACUGUCAAACCUGGACAGUCGAGUGAAAUCCUACUUAUUCAGGUUCAUGGAAAGAAGUCAACAAUUAAAAACAUCCAUCAAGAUAUUGAAAUGAUCCAUGGGAAGUAUGUACCUUAUCAGUUCUUGGUGUACUGGUUGCUUAUUAUGUAUGUAAUAAAUCAAGCUUGCAGAUAUUCAUAACUAAAUAACAGUUUACCUUGUAUACAUUAUAUGAACCCAAUAUGUAGAGAAAAAAAACUUUAGUUUUAUAAAUUGAGCCUUAUUUUGGUUUUUGAA